rnacentral:lncRNA from 1 species
UGCAGCGACGAGACGGCGAGCAAAGGUGAAUGGCCUUGGAGACUAAUGGCGUUUCAUAGGUUAGGGUUCACAGCCUCCGAUAUCCUUUCCUGCAUCAAAGAAUCGAACAUGAUCGGAAUGGGAGCCACCGGAAUCGUGUACAAAGCGGAGAUGUCACGAUCGAACACUGUUCUCGCCGUGAAGAAGCUCUGGAGAUCCGCCGCCGAUAUUGAGGAUGGAAACACCGGAGAUUUCGUUGGCGAAGUAAACCUUCUGGGAAAAUUGAGACACAGGAACAUCGUGAGGCUCCUUGGGUUCCUAUACAACGACAAAAACAUGAUGAUUGUAUACGAAUUCAUGCUUAACGGGAACCUCGGCGACGCGAUUCACGGGAAAAACGCCGCCGGGAGGCUGCUCGUCGAUUGGGUCUCGCGUUACAACAUCGCGCUUGGUGUCGCUCACGGCCUCGCUUACCUCCACCAUGAUUGUCAUCCUCC